rnacentral:rRNA from 1 species
CCUACGGGCGGCAGCAGUAGGGAAUAUUGCUCAAUGGGGGAAACCCUGAAGCAGCAACGCCGCGUGGAGGAUGAAGGUUUUCGGAUUGUAAACUCCUUUUGUUAGAGAAGAUAAUGACGGUCUCUAACGAAUAAGCACCGGCUAACUCCGGGCCAGCAGCCGCGGUAAUACGGAGGGUGCAAGCGUUACUCGGAAUCACUGGGCGUAAAGGGCUCUUAGGCGGGAUAGCAAGUCCAAUGUGAAAUCCUAUGGCGUAACCAUAGAACUGCAUUUGAAACUGUUAUUCUAGAGUAUGCGAGAGGUAUGUGGAAUGCGUGGUGUAGGGGUAAAAUCCGUAGAGAUCAAGAAGAAUACUCAUUGCGAAGGCGACAUGCUAGAACAUAACUGACGCUGAUGCGCGAAAGCGUGGGGAGCGAACAGGAUUAGAUACCCGUGUAGUC